GGCCCUUUAGCUCAGUAGUUAGAGCAGGCGACUCAUAAUCGCUUGGUCGCUGGUUCAAGUCCAGCAGGGGCCACCA
rnacentral:tRNA from 1 species